ACGUGACCUGAUCAAGAUCUGCGCAAAACGUACGUCAGGUGGCCAAAAUGCUGUCCCAACCAGGAUGAUCUGUGAUUGGCAAAAAGAAGCAAAUAUAACAGUGCAGAUAAAAGUCCUUUGGUGACUGGAAAAGGAAGGUUCAGUGCAUUACCAGGGGAUCACAAAAAGGGAUUUGAAUAUAUAACAAAGAAGUCAUUUUAUGGAAGGAUCAGAGAGUCAGAAAGAGACUCAUUGGGAGAAAUCACAUCUUAAAGUCAAUGACUGGGUCUGCACAAGGAUGGAGAAUUCCUCGAGGGAGAUGCUGAAGCCUCCAGAACAUCCGCAGAUGCAUGACAUAAAAACAGAGCUCAAAGUCCAUGGGGAAACUUGGUUACAAAGCAAUGCUGCGUGUCACCCCAUUUGGGCAAAAACUAAUUGAUUAGGAGGAUGUGUGACCAAACAUGAAGAGUUACUGCAGGGUGACAGAAUUAUGAGCCGGCUUUAUUUUCCCUGUCUUCUGUAUUUUCCAAAUUUUCCCCAUUGAAUAUAUAUUGCUUUGGUAAUGGAGAGAAAAUAAAAACCAGAUGUGUCAGCCCCGAAGCCGGGGCCUAAAAC